AUGCGAAUUGCAGAACACGCGAGUCAUCAGAUCUUUGAACGCAAUUGGUGGGGGUGUAAAAACCUUCAUGUUCGUU
rnacentral:rRNA from 1 species